GCCUGCCUGGCUUAGCUGGUAGAGCAUGGGACUCUUGAUCUUGGGGUUGUGGGUUCGAGCCCCAUGUUGGGUA
rnacentral:tRNA from 1 species